GGGUCAGUAGGUUGGUCGUGCCACCGGUACGUACUGGUCUCACUGAUUCCUCCUUCCUGAAGAACCGUAAUGCCAUUAAUUUGGUGUUGCGGGGACACAGGACUGUUACUUUGAAAAAAUUAGAGGGUUUAAAGCAAGCUAACGCUUGAAUACAUUAGCAUGGAAUGAUGAAAUAGGACGAUCGAUCCUAUUUUGUUGGUUUCUAGGAUUGACGUA
rnacentral:rRNA from 1 species